UUAACCACAUCCACGCACACUUUUUAUCUCGUUUUUAUCUUUGCGAUAUGAGUGCGACGGAACGAUAAACAGCUUGUACAGUGACCUUCAUGUUUUCGAUAGAAUGUUUUGUUUGACUCAUCGACCACAUCGCGAGCCGGUGUGAAUUUAUUCUGGCUAGUAGCAAACUAUAGGACUUCUUUGAACAUAAUAUUCUUACCUUUUAUUCCAUAGUUUUGUGUGUGAAAACCUAUAAAUACACUGUUGAUAUAAAUAAGUAAGAAUAACUUCUGUGCCCGGCCUGGACUGAAUAUAAUAUUGCACAACCUAAACAGAGUUGUUAAAGG